ensembl:snRNA U6 U6 spliceosomal RNA
AUGCUCGCUUUGGCAGCACACAUACUAAAACUGGAUCGAUGCAGAGAUUAGCAUGGCCCCUGCGCAUGGAUGACAGGCAAAUCCGUGACGCAGUCCAUAUUUUU